rnacentral:rRNA from 1 species
UUCGCAAUGCCCGAAAGGGUGACGAAGCGACGCCGCGUGUGGGAAGAAGGCCUUCGGGUUGUAAACCGCUGUUGGGAGUUAGGAAGUGUGGGAGUGUUAAUAGCGCUUCCACUUGACUAAAGCUCCAGAGGAAGCCACGGCUAACUCUGUGCCAGCAGCCGCGGUAAUACAGAGGCGGCAAGCGUUGUUCGGAAUUAUUGGGCGUAAAGAGCACGUAGGCGGCUAUGUAAGUCGGUUGUGAAAGCCUUCCGCUCAACGGGAGAACAGCAUCCGAUACUACAUGGCUUGAGUGCGGGAGGGGAGAGUGGAACUUCUGGUGGAGCGGUGAAAUGCGUAGAUAUCAGAAGGAACGCCGGCGGCGAAAGCGGCUCUCUGGCCCAUAACUGACGCUGAGUGUGCGAAAGCUAGGGGAGCAAACGGGAUUAGAUACCCCGGUAGUCCUAGCCGUAAACGAUGGGCACUAAGUAGAGGGGUUUU